rnacentral:lncRNA from 1 species
AGGUGAUAAAGUUCUAAAAAUAAAAGAGGUUAUAGUGGACAAAUUAGCAAAGGAAUACGUGGAUUAUUUGGGUGAAAAUUACCCAGUUACUGCCUUUUGUGAAACUAAAAUUAAUAAAAACAGAAGUUAUUUUAUGCAAUUUUAUGGUCCAUAAGAAAAAUAUAUAUAAGAUGGGGUGAAUAAAAACGUAUUUCCUUUUUUUCUUUUUUAAAACUAAUAAUUGUACUUUAUUUUCAAAGAAAAUAUGUUCUAAUAUCCUAAAAGACACAAACCAUAAUAUUAUUAUAAUAAACUCCAUGCAUAUUCCAUCUGCACUACUAUGAUAAAUUGUAAUCUGUAACACCAUUUUUCUUAUUCCCUUUAUAUUGUUUAAUACCUAUAUUACUAUUAGUAUUACUAUUUUUAAAUGUAUUUCUUCAUUUAUCCAAAUUUAUAUAAUAUGUACGUAUUGAUUAAUAUACUGUGUCAAACAAUAAUUGUUGUAUGUUACGUUGCUUGCUAAUAAUCAAUAAACAAUAAAGUUGUUAUCUA